CCUACGGGUGGCAGCAGUGGGGAAUAUUGGACAAUGGGCGAAAGCCUGAUCCAGCCAUGCCGCGUGUGUGAAGAAGGCCUUCGGGUUGUAAAGCACUUUCAGUGGGGAAGAAAGCCUUGGGGCUAAUACCCUCGAGGAAGGACAUCACCCACAGAAGAAGCACCGGCUAACUCCGUGCCAGCAGUCGCGGUAAUACGGAGGGUGCGAGCGUUAAUCGGAAUUACUGGGCGUAAAGCGCGCGUAGGCGGUCUGAUAAGCCGGUUGUGAAAGCCCCGGGCUCAACCUGGGAACGGCAUCCGGAACUGUCAGGCUAGAGUGCAGGAGAGGAAGGUAGAAUUCCCGGUGUAGCGGUGAAAUGCGUAGAGAUCGGGAGGAAUACCAGUGGCGAAGGCGGCCUUCUGGACUGACACUGACGCUGAGGUGCGAAAGCGUGGGUAGCAAACAGGAUUAGAUACCCCAGUAGUC
rnacentral:rRNA from 1 species